UCCUUCCCACGGCGAGUUAACCCCGUUCCUGACGUUACUUUUUGGGUCACAAGGAGAAGACAUGUUCUGUUUCUCUAUCCCCUGGACGUUUCUUCUCCUCCAAGCCGUGUUUCAAGCGUUGGACAGCCACGGUGCAGCCAGACAACGUCUCCAUCAUCCACGUCCUGCUGGACCGCACUCAUCUGACCUGCAGCAAGGGCCUCUGUUGCUCUUCGCCCAGCAGAUGAAACACCAAGUUCUUUUAGCUGUUGUGAAUUAGAAAGGGAGUGACGGAAUCCCAGAUCCUCUUCUCUUAUGAGCCCGUCACAGAGAGGAUCAGGAACCUCAUCUGCUGGAGCCACGUGUUCACAUAGGAGUCAAGUACAGACCUUGGGCUUCUCUCCAGGGGAGGUUACAGACACAGAAGACCCGGAGAAAGUACAAAUAACUGCAGACUUGUGUUUCUCCUCCAAACCAUACUGCAUGUCUUGAUCUAUGACUUAGACAUUUGAAAAAAUUAUUUUAUGGUUAGUGCCAGUUGCAUUGCAUUAUCGUGGUGUUGUGAGUUAAAGGCAUUAAUUUUUCAAGCAUAACCAUUUGACAUAGACCGCAUUUUAAAAAGAAGCCUGUUGGAGUUCCCGCUGUGGCACAGUGGAAACAAAUCUGACUAGGAACC